GAUCCUGGCUCAGGAUGAACGCUGGCGGCGUGCUUAACACAUGCAAGUCGAACGAAGAUGCCGGAGUGCUUGCACUUUGGCAGACUGAGUGGCGGACGGGUGAGUAACGCGUGGGUAACCUGCCUUAUACAGGGGGAUAACAGUUGGAAACGACUGCUAAUACCGCAUAAGCGCACAGGAUUGCAUGAUCUGGUGUGAAAAACUCCGGUGGUAUAAGAUGGACCCGCGUCUGAUUAGCUGGUUGGUGAGGUAAACGGCCCACCAAAGCGACGAUCAGUAGCCGACCUGAGAGGGUGACCGGCCACAUUGGGACUGAGACACGGCCCAAACUCCUACGGGAGGCAGCAGUGGGGGAAUAUUGCACAAUGGGGGAAACCCUGAUGCAGCGACGCCGCGUGAGCGAAGAAGUAUUUCGGUAUGUAAAGCUCUAUCAGCAGGGAAGAAGAAUGACGGUACCUGACUAAGAAGCACCGGCUAAAUACGUG
rnacentral:rRNA from 1 species